rnacentral:rRNA from 1 species
CGCGGGAUUAGAGUUUGAUCAUGGCUCAGAUUGAACGCUGGCGGCGGGCCUAAUACAUGCAAGUCGAGCGGAAACGAUGGAGCUUGCUCCAGGCGUCGAGCGGCGGACGGGUGAGUAACGCGUAGGAAUCUACCCAGUAGAGGGGGAUAGCCCGAGGAAACUCGGAUUAAUACCGCAUACGCCCUACGGGGAAAGCAGGGGAUCUUCGGACCUUGCGCUAUUGGAUGAGCCUGCGUUGGACUAGCUUGUUGGUGGGGUAAAGGCCUACCAAGGCGACGAUCCAUAGCUGGUCUGAGAGGAUGAUCAGCCACACUGGGACUGAGACACGGCCCAGACUCCUACGGGAGGCAGCAGUAGGGAAUAUUGGACAAUGGGGGCAACCCUGAUCCAGCCAUGCCGCGUGUGUGAAGAAGGCCUUAGGGUUGUAAAGCACUUUCAGUAGGGAGGAAGGCCAUAAGGUUAAUAACCUUAUGGAUUGACGUUACCUACAGAAGCAGCACCGGCUAACUCCGUGCCAGCAGCCGCGGUAAUACGGAGGGUGCAUGCGUUAAUCGGAAUUACUGGGCGUAAAGCGCGCGUAGGCGGUUUGUUAAGUGAGAUGUGAAAGCCCAGGGCUCAACCUUGGAACUGCAUCUCAUACUGGCAGGCUAGAGUACUGUAGAGGGGGGUAGAAUUUCA